UACAGAGGUCUCAAGCGUUGUUCGGAUUCCCUGGGCGUAAAGGGUGCGUAGGUGGUGAGGUAAGUCGGAUGUGAAAUCUCCGGGCUCAACCCGGAAAUGGCAUUGGAAACUACCUUGCUUGAGGGUUUGAGGGGGGAUUGGAAUACUUGGUGUAGCAGUGAAAUGCGUAGAUAUCAAGUGGAACACCAGUGGCGAAGGCGAAUCCCUGGAAAAUACCUGACACUGAGGCACGAAAGCUAGGGGAGCAAACAGG
rnacentral:rRNA from 1 species